rnacentral:rRNA from 1 species
ACGCACAUUGCGGUCCACGGAUCUCGUUCCCGGACCACGCCUGGCUGAGGGUCGUUUAUAAAAACGAACCCGACUGCUCUCUCGCAAGAGAGAGCGUUGAUCUGGGCGCUCGUGUCUCUAUCUCCUUACUCUUCUUCGAAGUGUAUAGCAGUGCGAGCACGUCGCCUUAAACGAAACGCAAGAAAAAAGAUGAAUUCGUUCGUCUAGCUGGCGAGCGCGCUUACCGCUUGGAGAGUUCUCUCGUGGUCGUCUGCGCGAGAGAGACACUUAGCACUCUGUGUUCGUGUCUCUCGAGCUUAGCGGCGGCGGCGAGUACUUCCGAUCGUUCUGCGUCGAGUCCCGGAGCUUCUCGACUCGUCGAGCAGCGGACCGACGUCUAGCACACGAUCAGGCUCGUCCAUGAUUCGGUAGCUGAAUGCGCGCGCGCUUUUACACGCACACGCACACGCACGCACACUCGUUGUGUGUGCUGUGCUGCUGCGUGUAUAAUGGCUAGCUCGGAUCAUUGCGUGAAUGAGUCUUUUUUUCUCGAUCGACGACCUCAGACCGGGCAAGAC